rnacentral:ncRNA from 2 species
AGCAGUUACUAGGGGAGUCUUUUUUUGACUGAGAUGUUCAUACGAACGGACCCUUUGAACCUGUAAGUUGAGACUUGCGUAGGGAAGUAGUCUAAAAAUCAU